ACGGCGAGUCAGCGGCAAAAGCUCAAAUUUGAAAUCUGGUACCUUCGGUGCCCGAGUUGUAAUUUGGAGAGGGCAACUUUGGGGCCGUUCCUUGUCUAUGUUCCUUGGAACAGGACGUCAUAGAGGGUGAGAAUCCCGUGUGGCGAGGAGUGCGGUUCUUUGUAAAGUGCCUUCGAAGAGUCGAGUUGUUUGGGAAUGCAGCUCUAAGUGGGUGGUAAAUUCCAUCUAAAGCUAAAUAUUGGCGAGAGACCGAUAGCGAACAAGUACAGUGAUGGAAAGAUGAAAAGAACUUUGAAAAGAGAGUGAAAAAGUACGUGAAAUUGUUGAAAGGGAAGGGCAUUUGAUCAGACAUGGUGUUUUGUGCCCUCUGCUCCUUGUGGGUAGGGGAAUCUCGCAUUUCACUGGGCCAGCAUCAGUUUUGGUGGCAGGAUAAAUCCAUAGGAAUGUAGCUUGCCUCGGUAAGUAUUAUAGCCUGUGGGAAUACUGCCAGCUGGGACUGAGGACUGCG
rnacentral:rRNA from 1 species